rnacentral:tRNA from 1 species
GGCUUUGUAGUACAAUGGAUAGUAUUUGGGUUUCCGAAGCCUACGAUCCAGGUUCGAUUCCUGGCAGAGCCA